rnacentral:rRNA from 1 species
CCAAUAGCAUAUAUUAAAGUUGCUGCAGUUAAAAAGCUCGUAGUUGAAUUUCGGGACCGAUAUAUCGGUCGUGCCUCGGUACGUACUGGUAUUUUCGGUUUCUCCCUUCUGACGAACCUUGAUGUCAUUAAUUUGGUGUCUUGGGGAAUCAGGACUGUUACUUUGAAAAAAUUAGAGUGUUUAAAGCAGGCUCACGCUUGAAUACAUUAGCAUGGAAUAAUGAAAUAGGACGUUUGAUUCUAUUUUGUUGGUUUCUAGGAUCGACGUAAUGAUUAAUAGGGAUAGUUGGGGGCAUUAGUAUUCAAUUGUCAGAGGUGAAAUUCUUGGAUUUAUUGAAGACUAACUACUGCGAAAGCAUUUGCCAAGGAUGUUUUCAUUAAUCAAGAACGAAAGUUAGGGGAUCGAAGACGAUCAGAUACCGUCGUAGUCUUAACCAUAAACUAUGCCGACUAGGGAUCGGAUGAUGUUAAUUUUUUAAUGACUCAUUCGGCGCCUUACG